GACGAACGCUGGCGGCGUGCUUAACACAUGCAAGUCGAACGGAAAGGCCCUGCUUUUGUGGGGUGCUCGAGUGGCGAACGGGUGAGUAACACGUGAGUAACCUGCCCUUGACUUUGGGAUAACUUCAGGAAACUGGGGCUAAUACCGGAUAGGAGCUCCUGCUGCAUGGUGGGGGUUGGAAAGUUUCGGCGGUUGGGGAUGGACUCGCGGCUUAUCAGCUUGUUGGUGGGGUAGUGGCUUACCAAGGCUUUGACGGGUAGCCGGCCUGAGAGGGUGACCGGCCACAUUGGGACUGAGAUACGGCCCAGACUCCUACGGGAGGCAGCAGUGGGGAAUAUUGCACAAUGGGCGGAAGCCUGAUGCAGCAACGCCGCGUGCGGGAUGACGGCCUUCGGGUUGUAAACCGCUUUCGCCUGUGACGAAGCGUGAGUGACGGUAAUGGGUAAAGAAGCACCGGCUAACUACGUGCCAGCAGCCGCGGUGAUACGUAGGGUGCGAGCGUUGUCCGGAUUUAUUGGGCGUAAAGGGCUCGUAGGUGGUUGAUCGCGUCGGAAGUGUAAUCUUGGGGCUUAACCCUGAGCGUGCUUUCGAUACGGGUUGACUUGAGGAAGGUAGGGGAGAAUGGAAUUCCUGGUGGAGCGGUGGAAUGCGCAGAUAUCAGGAGGAACACCAGUGGCGAAGGCGGUUCUCUGGGCCUUUCCUGACGCUGAGGAGCGAAAGCGUGGGGAGCGAACAGGCUUAGAUACCCUGGUAGUCCACGCUGUAAACGGUGGGUACUAGGUGUGAGGUCCAUUCCACGGGUUCCGUGCCGUAGCUAACGCUUUAAGUACCCCGCCUGGGGAGUACGGCCGCAAGGCUAAAACUCAAAGGAAUUGACGGGGCCCCGCACAAGCGGCGGAGCAUGCGGAUUAAUUCGAUGCAACGCGUAGAACCUUACCUGGGUUUGACAUGGAUCGGGAGUGCUCAGAGAUGGGUGUGCCUCUUUUGGGGUCGGUUCACAGGUGGUGCAUGGCUGUCGUCAGCUCGUGUCGUGAGAUGUUGGGUUAAGUCCCGCAACGAGCGCAACCCUUGUUCACUGUUGCCAGCACGUUAUGGUGGGGACUCAGUGGAGACCGCCGGGGUCAACUCGGAGGAAGGUGGGGGUGACGUCAAGUCAUCAUGCCCCUUAUGUCCAGGGCUUCACGCAUGCUACAAUGGCUGGUACAGAGAGUGGCGAGCCUGUGAGGGUGAGCGAAUCUCGGAAAGCCGGUCUCAGUUCGGAUUGGGGUCUGCAACUCGACCUCAUGAAGUCGGAGUCGCUAGUAAUCACAGAUCAGCAACGCUGCGGUGAAUACGUUCCCGGGGCU
rnacentral:rRNA from 1 species